ensembl:processed_transcript 4930480K15Rik RIKEN cDNA 4930480K15 gene
AGUCAUGCUCCAACAUUAGUAGAAAUUUCAAUAGUCAAAACCAACUACUUACAAAGAUUGAAUGAACUCUGAAAAACACUUAUAGCAUCCUCUUCCUGAUCUCUUGAUUUUACUUCCAUGAAAAUUAUCAGAAAAUGUUUCAUAUACAAAUUGGUGUGAGGUUUCUAGUUGUUUGUUUUUGUUUUUAAAGACAAAGGAUGAAACAACUGAGGAUGCUUUCUGUUCUCACACAAGGCUUAGAGAGGAAAAAGAUGAACACAAAGGUUUUUUUCUGAGUGUAGUGAGCCACUGAACAAGAAAAAACAAAACAAAACAAAACAACAAAACCAAACCAAGCUCCGUGGGCUUCAGAAAAGAAAACAGCAAAGCCCCGAGCCCAGGACGGACCUGGAGCCCAGCAGCAGCAUUCUCCAAGACCAUGCGGCAGGAGCUGUGGCAGCACGGUUGUCUUGUGAUGAUCAACAAGCUGCUGCAGUUUUAUUGUGAAGAUAUAAGCUAAGGUCCUCAGAGGCGACAGUGAACCUGUGGUAUACUUGACAAUUAUCUGUAGACAUUAUUGCUUGUCACGACAUGGCCUUUUGUUUACCACUUCCCACUCUCUGCAAACCCAUGACCUCUUUUUUUAUUAAGUGUUCUUACAUACAUAAGGCAUAUACAUGUACGUACAUGUGUUUAGCUACAUAAAUACAACCAGCUCAGUAAGUAUAAUGGUAUUUGUAUGCAUGCUUUGAGGGUGAGCUAUUUGCUUAAUUGUGCGUGUGUGUGUGUGUGUGUGUGUGUGUGUGUGUGUGUGUGUGUGUGUGUGUGUGCUCAUCUGUGUUUGUCUGUAUGUCUGUGUGUUCACAGAGGGUGUGUGAUGUCCAGAGAGGCCAGAGAGUUCAGAUCUCCUGUUUUUGGAGUAAAGGGUGGUUGUAAAUCACUUGACAUGUAGUGACAGCCAAGCUCAGUCCUGUUACAAGAUCAGUCUUCACUCCUAACUUCUGAGCCAGCCUGCAGACUCCUCUCAAGACAUCACCAAGAAGAACAUUUAGUAACUACUUGCAGAGACAGGAUUGUUAGUGAAGGAGAACAUGUGGUUGUUUUUAGCUCAGACCACCAUUCCAACAAAUCCACUGCAAGUUUUCAUUACCAGGAGAAUCAUCUUGAGGACUUCGUAAGCAGAUUUCCUGGAUUAGAAGAUGAAAAAUACCACUCAAAAAGGGAGAGAAAAUUUCACUAACUUGGGCUCAUUUUCUGGCCCCAUCCAUCACUGUACCUGGACUCCAAAGCUCCUGAUCAACAAGGCCACAGAAUAAAAGGCAAUCAGAAGGAAGGGGAAUGGAGAUGGACGGGGGUGAUGGUGGAGAGAGGGCUCAGGGAUGCCUCAGUGUGGUGUGUGGAAGUUAUGCACUGAGCAGCUUUUUCUGCAUACAUGUAUUGGACCGUGCAAAACACAGCAUCUAGGCUACUAUCAUGUUUCAAGCACUGUAAAGUCACAGCGAUCUAGAUGAGCCCCUUUUCUUAGUAAUAAUUUACAAAGCCUUUAAAACAUACUCAAAUUUUAAAGAAAUUAAAAUAUUUUACUUUUACUAUGUGAUUAAAUGAUCUGGAGAAAAUAAUGGGAGAAGCAACUGAGAAAUUCAUAUUUGAGUUGCUAGCAGUAAUAGCUGAAAAAUUAAGUAUUUUGUUUCUUUAUUGAUAUGCUGUAUCUUAAUGUGGUUUUAAAAUCUGUUUAUCUAAUUAUUUAUAUAGCUUUUUAUGAGAUUAAAAAAUUCACAGCUGAUUUUGUCUGAUCAUCAACAUUGUAAUAGGAUAAUAUUAAAAUCUUAUUUGGUAAAUGAAUGCUUUUAUUCUUAAUUUCUUGAGGCAAAUUUAGUGUCCCCAAAAUGCUGUGCUAUACUUACACACUUGUAAGGUUUUUAAUUCAUAUUUAAGUAUAAAGUGAUGAAAAAAACUAAAAAGAACACUAAGUAGAUGAAAUACCUGCGACUUUAGGAAGCUGAAGAGCCACAACGCAGCAGUUUGUGAGUUCCCUGUAGUGAAGAUGGCAGAAUGAGCUCACUGUAGCAAAGAUGGCGAACAUCUCUGAGAUCUGGAUUAUUACACUCUCAGACAUUUCAUUUGCACAGACAUACUAUACACGUAUAUCUUUAGCGCUUUAAAACAUUUUACUUCUAUUUAAAUUUGAAAUGUUGAAUAUACAAGUUGCAAAAAUAAAUAAAACUGGUUU